AUAAAAGUGGCAGAUUAGUGCGUUAGAUUUAGGAUCUAAAUAUGUAGAUAAUGUUCUUCCUUUUAUA
rnacentral:tRNA from 3 species